rnacentral:rRNA from 1 species
GACGAACGCUGGCGGCGUGCUUAACACAUGCAAGUCGAACGGUAAGGCUCCAGCUUGCUGGGGUACACGAGUGGCGAACGGGUGAGUAACACGUGGGUGACCUGCCCUGCACUUCGGGAUAAGCCUGGGAAACUGGGUCUAAUACCGGAUAGGACCAUGGUGUGGAUACUGUGGUGGAAAGUUUUUUCGGUGUGGGAUGGGCCCGCGGCCUAUCAGCUUGUUGGUGGGGUAAUGGCCUACCAAGGCGGCGACGGGUAGCCGGCCUGAGAGGGUGGACGGCCACAUUGGGACUGAGACACGGCCCAGACUCCUACGGGAGGCAGCAGUGGGGAAUAUUGCACAAUGGGCGGAAGACUGAUGCAGCGACGCCGCGUGGGGGAUGACGGCCUUCGGGUUGUAAACUCCUUUCACCAUCGACGAAGGGUUUCUGACGGUAGAUGGAGAAGAAGCACCGGCUAACUACGUG